rnacentral:rRNA from 1 species
CCUACGCGGGGCUGCAGUGAGGAAUAUUUGUCAAUGGGCGCGAGCCUGAACCAGCCAAGUAGCGUGAAGGAUGACUGCCCUACGGGUUGUAAACUUCUUUUAUAAAGGAAUAAAGUGAGGCACGUGUGCCUUUUUGUAUGUAUUUUACGAAUAAGGAUCGGCUAACUCCGUGCCAGCAGCCGCGGUAAUACGGAGGAUUCGAGCGGUAUCCGGAUUUAUUGGGUUUAAAGGGAGCGUAGAUGGGUUGUUAAGUUAGUGGUGAAAGUUUGCGGCUCAACCGUAAAAUUGCAAUUGAUACUGGCAGCAUUGAGUACAGGUGGGGUAGGCGGAAUUCGUGGUGUAGCGGUGAAAUGCUUAGAUAUCACGAAGAACUCCGAUUGCGAAGGCAGCCUACUAAACUGUCACUGACAUUGAUGCUCGAAAGUGUGGGUAUCAAACAGGAUUAGAUACCCCUGUAGUC